AUCCAGCUGACGUGUCCCAAAUAGGACGAAAAGCGUGUCCUGGAU
rnacentral:hammerhead_ribozyme from 1 species